rnacentral:rRNA from 1 species
GUGUCAGCCGCCGCGGUAAUACGAAGGGGGCUAGCGUUGCUCGGAAUGACUGGGCGUAAAGGGCGCGUAGGCGGAUGGUACAGUCAGAUGUGAAAUUCCCGGGCUCAACCUGGGGGCUGCAUUUGAUACGUGCUGUCUAGAGUGAGGAAGAGGGUCGUGGAAUUCCCAGUGUAGAGGUGAAAUUCGUAGAUAUUGGGAAGAACACCGGUGGCGAAGGCGGCGACCUGGUCCUUUACUGACGCUGAGGCGCGAAAGCGUGGGGAGCAAACAGGAUUAGAUACCCUGGUAGUCCACGCCGUAAACGAUGUGUGCUGGAUGUUGGGUGACAUAGUCACUCAGUGUCGUAGCUAACGCGAUAAGCACACCGCCUGGGGAGUACGGCCGCAAGGUUGAAACUCAAAUGAAUUGACGGGG